rnacentral:rRNA from 1 species
CAGUAGCCACGGGAAUACAGAGGGUGCGAGCGUUAAUCGGAUUUACUGGGCGUAAAGCGUGCGUAGGUGGCUUCUUAAGUCGGAUGUGAAAUCCCUGAGCUUAACUUAGGAAUUGCAUUCGAUACUGGGAAGCUAGAGUAUGGGAGAGGGUGGUAGAAUUCCAGGUGUAGCGGUGAAAUGCGUAGAGAUCUGGAGGAAUACCGAUGGCGAAGGCAGCCAUCUGGCCUAAUACUGACGCUGAGGUACGAAAGCAUGGGGAGCAAACAGGAUUAGAUACCCGCGUAGUCCCUGUCUCUUAUAC